AGGAACGAAAAGGAUCACAAAGUUUUGUGUGCGCCUUGAAAGUAGUUCACAACGGAGUAGUGUUCGACAUACUAAACUUUGGACUAUUUCAAGUGAGGUUUUAGUUAAUUAUUCAGUACUUGUGUGUGCUAUUAAUACAUAUUUGCUAGUAACAGGUGUUAGCUCAGAACCGAAGUUUCGCCUAGAAACAGUGUAUGUAAUUUACCCGAGCGCUAAUAUAUUGGGCAACUUGUGAAGAUUGAGAUUGUAUUCAGCGUCACUAGUUUGAUUACACUCAGUCGAGGUUGGUGCGAGCGACCGUGCUGUCCAUUCGUCAAUUGAACGUUUUGUAAUCCAAAGUGUGGUGCAGCAGUAAAAGGUUUUCAAAAUAAAGUUCACAAUGGAUGGUGCAAGUGUAAGCCCCAUGCCGGAGGCUCCUCUUGCUAUGAUGGAAGUGGAGAAAACACCACCUCGAAGUCCGAGCAAUCACGACAUGCCUCCACCGCCCGAUGAAAACAAACAAUUGAAUGGAACCUUUUUAAAUCAUGCGGACCGAAUGUCUGUUGAAUGCAGAAGCUAAAGAAAUGCAUGAAUUAUCUGAAAAUCGCCAGCAGAGUUCUCCAGUAUAUUAAAAGAAAAUAGAUUAAAAAAUAGAGCCGUUCCAAAUAUUUUUGGUGAUACAGAGAGUGUCACUCUGUAUCACCAAAAAAUUUCCGAUUAAAACUGUAUUUGUUUGAAAAAUUAUUUGAAAAAUAGUAGAAAUAGUUAACAUUUGUUAAACAUUUUUUCGACAUUUGUUAAACCACCAGUGAAGUUUGGUGCAAUUCGAAAUUUAACUUUGGCUGUAAAAAAUAUUGAAAUAAAGAGGUGUAUAAAUUUUCAAAUCAUAAAAACUAUUAUAAAUAUUUCGAAUAUCGAUAAAAUAUUUCACCACGAUAUUCACGGGUACCUAAUUAAGAAAAUUAAAACAUGUUUUGCAAAAUUCACCACCUUGUGAAAAAUGGGGGGGGGGGGCACUUCAGAAUUUUGUACUCAGAUACUUGACACGUUUAGUUUUACAUUUCUUACAAAAGAAAUGUAUAGGAUUCGCUCAAACUUUGAAAACUUUUUCCAAGGCCCGGAGGGCCGAGUCUCAUAUACCAAUCGACUCAGCUCGACAAAUUGAGACAAUGUCUGUAUGUGUGUGUGUAUGUGUGUAUGUAUGUAUGUACAAAAUGUCAUGUAAUUAUCUCAGCAAUGGCUGAACCGAUCUUAAUGAAAUUAGUUUCAAAUGAAAGGCUUAACGUUGCCAUUUGACACUAUUAUUUUUGAUUUUCGAUAUGUUGUUUACUUUCUGAGAUAUGGGCGAUUUUGUCAAAACACAGCAGGUUUCUCGCAAAUAACUUUCAAACAAUACAAUUUUGUCCUACAAACUGCACAUAAAUGGAAAGCUUGUAAAAAUACCUUUCUAACAAGCUCUAGAUUGUCUAAAUCCGUGCACGAGCGGCGGAGAUAUUGAACAUUUUGUAUUUUUAGUCCGCGCUUACUAAUUUCCCCUAACUAAAAAUGAGAUUGUUUCAUACAGAGUAUUGUUUUACUGGUGUUUUAGGGGCAAAACUAAACCGAUUUUGAAUAUCGGGGUAUGAAAACACAUCUACGAUGUUGAGAACAUUUUGUGAAUUACCUUUAUAAUAAAUUAACUAUUUUUAAAAAAUCAAUAUAUAAGUUCACUUCAAAGACAAAAUAAUGUGUUGAUAAAGAAACAGUGAGUUCUAGUAUUUAUUCCUUGGAUUAGGCAUUGCGUUCAAUCAUGAGGUAAAUGUUGGAUUGUUUAGCAAUACACAGAUCAACAAGUAAUUCACCUAGUAGUGAGAUAAAAGAUUUCUCAUAUAAUUAUACUCGUGGCGUCACCGAAAGCAACUGUAUGUUUGAAGCCCAAAAAUCUAGCGAAAAUUUAACUCUUUUGCAAGAUUUAGGUUAUACUGGUUAUGGCGCAAAAAUUACUACUUACAUUAUUUAUGAUAAGAAUGUAAGAAAUAAAUAUAUCAUAAUAAUAUACCUAUAAAAAUAAUGUCACUGCAUUAACCAUCAUUUGCCAUUCCUCACACGCCCCCCCCCCCUCCAUCUCUCUC